AUUGAACGCUGGCGGCAGGCCUAACACAUGCAAGUCGAACGGUAACAGAAAGCAGCUUGCUGCUUUGCUGACGAGUGGCGGACGGGUGAGUAAUGUCUGGGAAACUGCCUGAUGGAGGGGGAUAACUACUGGAAACGGUAGCUAAUACCGCAUAACGUCGCAAGACCAAAGAGGGGGACCUUCGGGCCUCUUGCCGUCGGAUGUGCCCAGAUGGGAUUAGCUAGUAGGUGGGGUAACGGCUCACCUAGGCGACGAUCCCUAGCUGGUCUGAGAGGAUGACCAGCCACACUGGAACUGAGACACGGUCCAGACUCCUACGGGAGGCAGCAGUGGGGAAUAUUGCACAAUGGGCGCAAGCCUGAUGCAGCCAUGCCGCGUGUAUGAAGAAGGCCUUCGGGUUGUAAAGUACUUUCAGCGGGGAGGAAGGGAGUAAAGUUAAUACCUUUGCUCAUUGACGUUACCCGCAGAAGAAGCACCGGCUAACUCCGUA
rnacentral:rRNA from 1 species